AUAUAUCCGUGUUUGUAUGGUUGUGUGUAUAUACAUACAUACAUAAACAAGUGUGUAAGUAGGUGUGUUUGUUUCCAUGAUCAGACCUAUAUCUAUACGCAGAUAUCUUUUCGAGAUGGUGAGUGACUCAAAUACUCUCGGAAUCUAUAGAAAUCUGACAAUGAGGUAAAACGACUGUGAAAACAAUAAGCCCGAUAACGUUAAAGAUAUCAAUUUUUGAUUGGUCAAGGUAUGACGUUUGGAACCUAUAUUUGCAAAAUCAUGUGCAUAUGUCACUGAAAUAAUGAAUAUCCUUACAUAAUACUCAAAUAUAAUAGAAUCCUUUCAUAUCUACAUUUACUGACAGCCACUCACAUACACACACGCAGUGGGCUUUUUCUUGGUGGGGUGCAAGAGAGAGAGAGAGAGUAGCUUUGAGCGAAUGUAGAUACGCAUGGAUUCCAUUAUAUUUGAUUUUUAUGCAAUGAUAUUCAUAGUUUCAGUGAAAUAAACCAAUGAUUUUGCAAACAUGCCUUCUUAAAUCAUACCACAACCAAUCGAAAAUUGAUAUCUUUAAUGGUAUUGCACUUAUUGAUUUGACAAUCGUUUCGGAAAAAAUGACCUGGAAGAAAGUUAUCCGACGCUGAUCACCAUUGAAGUGAUUUUUGUCUAUGCUCUGGCUGCAUUUUGCCAUCAUUUCAGGGAAUGCGGUCCUCGUGGUAUCUGAUCUCGCAGAUAUACAUUUAAAUAACCCGAAAGUAAUUACUGCUAAGAAUACCACAGAUGAGGUGAUCCCCCUCAACAAGGUUAAAAAACAAUGUAUAAAGCUCGGAAAUACCAAGAGCAGCUGCAGUGACAGAGAGCAGCAAGUUUCUUGCUUUAUGUUCUGAUACCUCUUGAAUAAUCAACUAUUUCAGGUGUAUUAGCACACAUAUAUAUGUACAUACACGAUCAGAAGUCUCUUACACAUGACACACACAUACAUACACACACAAUCGCAAACGCACAUAUGUAUAGUCAUAAUGAGGAUAUUUAAGCCUCUUAUAGAAAUAUUUAUCCAAGAUAAACUUGUUUAAUAUAUGAGAUAAUUCUUCAAUGAAUGUAUUCUAUAGAAUACCCUAAAAAUCAAACAUUUUUCAUCAAGUUUGAAAACAAAAAGACUUAAUGGAUACAGAUUAAUUUAUUAUUUAAUCAACAUAUUCACCAAUAAUUGUUUCGCUUCACAAACAAAAUUAGAAUCCCCAAACAUAUAAAUAUUAAAUUUUGCAUUUUAAAUACCUUCUAUGGAAAAUCGCCAGGGUGGGCAUGGAACAAAACAGAUUACAUUAGGAUACACAGAAUAUACAGACAUCUUCAUAAUGAGUGCAUGUAUACGUAUAUAUCAGUAUGUAUGCCUCCAGUAAGAGUUUACAAGUUCACGCGUUUCUCAUUGGAAAUAAAUAUAUUGGGAGAUACGAUUUUUAGUAGUAAACAGCCUACGUCAUCAACUAAUGACUUUCAUCGGCGUAUGAAUAUAUUUAUUUGCACAUUGACCAUUCCAAGCUUAAAAACUGGACUUGAAAUAUAUUCUUUAUUCAAGUGGGCUAAAUACUUCCACAAAGCUUAAUUAACGAAUACCUUCACGUUCAUGGAAACUCUCACAGGGCAUUUGAUUAAAAGCAAACACGCACCCCACUCCAUACACACGCACUCGGUCUAUAGCACACAGCGGUACUUUCCUGUUUUAAUUUGAGCUUCACACAGCACAAUAUAUUUGUAAUUGAACAAGAAUAUUUUAAGAACAGUCGCUGGAGAAUAUAUUAUCCGCCAAGACAGAGUCUUCAGGCAGUUUAAGUGAUCUAAACGCUAUCGGCAGAAAUGAUUAACUGUUAUGAUGUGUUGAAGAGUGAGGUGGACGAGUCUAUGGACGAGUCGACAACAGCUUUCCUACGCGGCUCAUCUUAUUUCAUGACUAUAGUGUUGUGCAGAUCAGCCUAUGCGACAGAGGCAAUUGGAAAGCAUUCAAAAGUUAAGUUUUCAUAGGCAAAAUUAUAAAUGCUACAAUUUUCGAUUCCAGCGUUAAAUAUUUCGAACAGAAUUUGCCAUUUCCUGUAGAUGCGAUAUCUCCACAAUUAUCUAGACAGUUAUCUGUGGGGAUACCUGCCGUCACAAUUGCGUCACGGAUCACAAUUGCUAUGGCAGUCUCUAAAUCCCCUUUGCAAAAAAUGCUAUACAUAUAGGCGCAGAUACACACACACACACACACACACACACAGCCACACACACACAUAUAUGUAUGUAUUUGACUUAUAAUUUUCAUGAGAAAAUUGUCAUUAUCAAAACCACAUUUAUUUGGCCAAACCUAAACGUUUCAUUUUCCUGGUUUUAAUCUUUUUUUUCUCUGAAUCAGUUUUGUAUAUUUUCAACAAAAAAAAAAAAAAAUACACAAGUAAUUUUCUUUGAAAAACUAUUUUCUGUGUUUAUUAAAUUUGUAAUCAUAUUUAAAUAAUUGAAGCUUUUUUCAUGACCUGUGGGUACAAGCAUUAAUUGUUCAAGUGAUAAUAAUGAUAAUAUUCAACCUUGCCUGGUGAUUGUAAAA
rnacentral:lncRNA from 1 species